rnacentral:rRNA from 1 species
UGAGGAAUAUUGGUCAAUGGGCGGGAGCCUGAACCAGCCAAGCCGCGUGAGGGAAGAAGGCCCUAUGGGUCGUAAACCUCUUUUGUCAGGGAACAAAAGCGAGUAUGUAUACUAGUCUGAGUGUACCUGAAGAAAAAGCAUCGGCUAACUCCGUGCCAGCAGCCGCGGUAAUACGGAGGAUGCGAGCGUUAUCCGGAUUUAUUGGGUUUAAAGGGUGCGUAGGCGGCGGUGCAAGUCAGCGGUAAAAGCCCGGGGCUCAACCCCGGCGAGCCGUUGAAACUGCAGUGCUAGAGAAGGCGAGAGGUACGCGGAAUGCGCAGUGUAGCGGUGAAAUGCUUAGAUAUUGCGCAGAACUCCGAUUGCGAAGGCAGCGUACUGGCGCCUGACUGACGCUGAGGCACGAAAGCGUGGGGAUCGAACAGGAUUAGAUACCC